AACGAACGCUGGCGGCAUGCCUAACACAUGCAAGUCGAACGAGACCUUCGGGUCUAGUGGCGCACGGGUGCGUAACGCGUGGGAACCUGCCCUUAGGUUCGGAAUAACUCCCCGAAAGGGGUGCUAAUACCGGAUAAUGUCUUCGGACCAAAGAUUUAUCGCCUUUGGAUGGGCCCGCGUUGGAUUAGCUAGUUGGUAGGGUAAAAGCCUACCAAGGCGACGAUCCAUAGCUGGUCUGAGAGGAUGACCAGCCACACUGGGACUGAGACACGGCCCAGACUCCGACGGGAGGCAGCAGUGGGGAAUAUUGGACAAUGGGCGAAAGACUGAUCCAGCAAUGCCGCGUGAGUGAUGAAGGCCUUAGUGUUGUAAAGCUCUUUUACCCGGGAUGAGAAUGACAGUACCGGGAGAAUAAGCUCCGGCUAACUCCGUG
rnacentral:rRNA from 1 species